rnacentral:rRNA from 1 species
CCUACGGGAGACAGCAGUAGGGAAUUUUCGUCAAUGGGGGGAACCCUGAACGAGCAAUGCCGCGUGAGUGAAGAAGGCCUUCGGGUCGUAAAGCUCUGUUGUAAGAGAAAAACGGUCAUUAUAGGGAAUGAUAAUGAAGUGAUGGUAUCGUACCAGAAAGCCACGGCAAACUACGUGCCAACAGCCGCGGUAAUACGUAGGUGGCAAGCAUUAUCCGGAAUGAUUGGGCGAAAAGGGUGCGCAGGCGGUCCGGAAAGUCUGUAGGAAAAGUCAUUGGCUAAACCAAUGUAUGCUGUGGAAACUGAUGGACUAGAGUGCAGGAGAGGGCAGUGGAAUUCUAGGUGUAGGGGUAAAAUGCGUAGAUAUAUGGAGGAACACUGGUGGCGAAGGCGGCUGCCUGGCCUGUAACUGACGCUGAGGCACGAAAGCGUGGGGAGCAAAUAGGAUUAGAUACCCCUGUAGUC